rnacentral:rRNA from 1 species
AGCGAACGUUAGCGGCGCGCCUAACACAUGCAAGUCGCACGAGAAAGGGAGCAAUCCCCGGUACAGUGGCGCACGGGUGAGUAACACGUAGAUGACCUUCCCUGGAGUGGUGGAUAACCUGCCGAAAGGCGGGCUAAUACAGCAUGGGACCACAUGGUUUUGACCGAGUGGUGAAAGCGGGCCUCUGUUCACAAGCUCGCGCUCUGGGAUGGGUCUGCGUCCCAUCAGCUAGUUGGUGAGGUAAUGGCUCACCAAGGCAUCGACGGGUAGCUGGUCUGAGAGGAUGACCAGCCACACUGGAACUGAGACACGGUCCAGACUCCUACGGGAGGCAGCAGUGGGGAAUCUUGCGCAAUGGGCGAAAGCCUGACGCAGCGACGCCGCGUGGUGAUGAAGGCC